GAUGUCACUGUAGGCGUUCCUGCUGAUUCAAUUUGCGCCGGUGCCGUUCGGAGCCGUGUCGUGCGGUGAAAGUAGGUGAAAUAUUGAGGAAGUAAUGAGUCACACGUGUCAUAAUACCUAAAUUUGGAAGAAAAUGGCCCAGUGUUGUGUCUAUGGCUGCUCGGAGAAUGGUACAAGAAUGGGCUCAACAGGCAGAGGAAAUGGAGAAGAGUGCUCCACCUCCACCUGACAUUGCUGCUUAUGAGGAGUGCGACACUGAAGGGGUGUGCUGCACCACUGCGGGGCUAUCUGAUGGUGCUGUCAAUAUCAGCUCAGCACCAGACAGGGUUCAAUGUCCAAGAUCUGUUAGCCUGUCGUGAUGUACGUGUCAUAACACCAGCGUUCCUUAAAGUGAAGUCCCAGCUCUCUCUCGCCGAACGCACUCAGUCGCUCGCUAUCACGAGGGAUCAUAUCUACAUAUGUCGGGCGUAUGACUGGUCUGAUCAAGACUUACUCGUUUCUUAGGGGGCAAAUCGAUGCCGGUUACGUACCUGUUCUUUCAGACAUAUUCCGUUCUGUGUGUCUCGUCUGUAGCCUGCAGAAAUCGCUCAUGCAGGUGGCGGGGAUGUGCGCGCUCUGGGACGUUAGCAUUAGCAGACUGAGCUUCACCGUCUCAUGUUUAUUGUACAUGCCUACAUUUGUGAAUGGUGCAUUGGAGGGCUACAUGUGUAUGCUGGUGCACAGUGCAUUGCUUGAAAGCUGUAUGUUAUUUGGUAAUCGGUGAUAUUGAAUGCUUUUGAGUUUUGGAGCUUGCCUUGUCGAAGUGGUUUAGCUAGUAGGUACUCUGCUAUGUUUCGAUGUCAGUUCAAUACACCGCUGUUGACUAUCA